AUCUAAGUACCCCGAGGAAAAGAAAUCAACCGAGAUUCCCCCAGUAGCGGCGAGCGAACGGGGAGGAGCCCAGAGCCUGAAUCAGCAUGUGUGUUAGUGGAAGCGUCUGGAAAGGCGCGCGAUACAGGGUGACAGCCCCGUACACAAAAGCGCAUGUGCUGUGAGCUCGAUGAGUAGGGCGGGACACGUGGUAUCCUGUCUGAAUAUGGGGGGACCAUCCUCCAAGGCUAAAUACUCCUGACUGACCGAUAGUGAACCAGUACCGUGAGGGAAAGGCGAAAAGAACCCCGGCGAGGGGAGUGAAAAAGAACCUGAAACCGUGUACGUACAAGCAGUGGGAGCACCCUUCGGGGUGUGACUGCGUACCUUUUGUAUAAUGGGUCAGCGACUUAUAUUCUGUAGCAAGGUUAACCGUAUAGGGGAGCCGGAGGGAAACCGAGUCUUAAUUGGGCGUUAAGUUGCAGGGUAUAGACCCGAAACCCGGUGAUCUAGCCAUGGGCAGGUUGAAGGUUGGGUAACACUAACUGGAGGACCGAACCGACUAAUGUUGAAAAAUUAGCGGAUGACCUGUGGCUGGGGGUGAAAGGCCAAUCAAACCGGGAGAUAGCUGGUUCUCCCCGAAAGCUAUUUAGGUAGCGCCUCGUGAAUUCAUCUCCGGGGGUAGAGCACUGUUUCGGCUAGGGGGCCAUCCCGGCUUACCAACCCGAUGCAAACUGCGAAUACCGGAGAAUGUUAUCACGGGAGACACACGGCGGGUGCUAACGUCCGUCGUGAAGAGGGAAACAACCCAGACCGCCAGCUAAGGUCCCAAAGUCAUGGUUAAGUGGGAAACGAUGUGGGAAGGCCCAGACAGCCAGGAUGUUGGCUUAGAAGCAGCCAUCAUUUAAAGAAAGCGUAAUAGCUCACUGGUCGAGUCGGCCUGCGCGGAAGAUGUAACGGGGCUAAACCAUGCA
rnacentral:rRNA from 1 species